rnacentral:rRNA from 1 species
ACUCAGGGAUUGCCUUAGUACGGCGAGUGAAGCGGCAAAAGCUCAAAUUUGAAAUCUGGCACCUUCGGUGUCCGAGUUGUAAUUUGAAGAAGGUAACUUUGGAGUUGGCUCUUGUCUAUGUUCCUUGGAACAGGACGUCACAGAGGGUGAGAAUCCCGUGCGAUGAGAUGCCCAAUUCUAUGUAAAGUGCUUUCGAAGAGUCGAGUUGUUUGGGAAUGCAGCUCUAAGUGGGUGGUAAAUUCCAUCUAAAGCUAAAUAUUGGCGAGAGACCGAUAGCGAACAAGUACAGUGAUGGAAAGAUGAAAAGAACUUUGAAAAGAGAGUGAAAAAGUACGUGAAAUUGUUGAAAGGGAAGGGCUUGAGAUCAGACUUGGUAUUUUGCGAUCCUUUCCUUCUUGGUUGGGUUCCUCGCAGCUUACUGGGCCAGCAUCGGUUUGGAUGGUAGGAUAAUGACUAAGGAAUGUGGCUCUACUUCGGUGGAGUGUUAUAGCCUUGGUUGAUACUGCCUGUCUAGACCGAGGACUGCGUCUUUUGACUAGGAUGUUGGCAUAAUGAUCUUAAGCCACCCGUCUUG